AUCCUAUUGUAGCUAAUACACUUCGCUCUCUUUAAAAAGGGUGUAACGGGAGAUUGUUUUUUAUUUUUUUUUUAAAAAAUAUCGUAGCUCAUCUAAUUGUUAGCAAGAAAUGCAAUUUAUCAAGAUACACUGAAAAACACUAAAUUCCAAACAAUUUUUAUCAUCAAAACAACAAUGAUCCUGUUCGUUUGAGUGAACUUACCAGGUGUUUUCAUCUCCUAGUUCCUGCAACGUCAACGACAAGUGAUAGAAAAUCAUAAUCUAGUCGUCAGUGUCAUCAAUUCACUGAAGUUAUCAGUGUCCUGAUAAGGACCUGAUAGGCAAGAAAACCUUCCCAAGAUUCAGGUCCCUCUAAGGAGCUGAUUGGCCACACUACAGUACACUCUUCUGAUGGGAGGUUCCCCAAGCUGCCAGGUGGCAGCUGUUGAUAUGAAAGGUCCUGUGGCUGAAAAUGUCAGAAAUAAGAUUAGGGAAAACUGUGUUGUGAUCUUUUCAAAAACUUUUUGUCCAUACAGCAAUAUGGCUAAAGAGUUGUUUGAUGACCUGGGGACACCUUAUGAAGUCUAUGAAAUAGACAAAGAAAAAGAUGGAGUUGCAGUUCAGGAUGUUUUGGAGAUCAUGACAGGAGCCAGAACAGUACCACGUGUAUUUGUAGGAGGAAAAUUCAUAGGUGGUUGUACAGAGACACAGCAAUUGUACAAGGAUGGGAAAUUGGUUGAGCUUGUUGGGCAGUGCAGUGUCAACUCUUAGAUAUCCCACCAUUCUGAGGGAAUAAUCUAGAAGAUGGGAAGGUGGGCUUGCAGAGGUCCACGUCUGUCACUGCAUUCGACGGAGUGUUUCCUGUCUUGUUUGGCUGUUACAUGUAAUUUUCCACUCAACCUUUCCUCAUCAUCAGAUGUGCUUCUUCUUCCAUUUUGAGCUGCAUUCCUUAUGUUUCCUACCAACUCUCUUGCCAAUUCUUUCCAGAACUGAAGAUGAGUUAAUACUUUCAACCAUUUUGAUUUCAUAUGAAUACGAUGAAGAAUGAAAUUAUUCACUAUGACUACUUCCAAAAGAAAAAAGUAAACUUUUCACCACCAUUUCAAUAAUUUUUGUAGGAAACAGUAUGAUGAUAUGUAAUGAUCUGCACGAUCUACUCCUCCCAUGUUAGAAGUAUAUUCAGAAACCAUCACUGGUUUUUCAAUGACUUGUUCUACAUUCCCUUUCAUAAUACGGCGAUGUUGGAUGGUUCUUGCAGUAUGGUAUGUAGAGCACAUAGUGACGUCCCUCUUAUCUUUCCGAGACAGAAUAUGGUAUCGCUUGUUUUUCACAUACGACCUUACUGUUCCUACUGAUGAUCUUUUUCUUUUCUUCACUUGAGGGGGAAGGCCUUUCCUAUUCGUAUUUAUCGUUCCAGUGAUGUAAAUUUUUUUUCUUCAGAAGUUCCGCAGCUAGAGAUAAGUUUGUAUAAAGAUGAUCCGUAUAAACGUGGUAUCCAGUUUCUCCUGUGGCACGUGUAACGAUGUCCACUAGUGUUAAUACAAUGUGAGUGGUGAAGAGAUGACCAGCAUAACCAAGGCACUCGAUAGUAGC